AUACGGAAGGUCCGGGCGUUAUCCGGAUUUAUUGGGUUUAAAGGGAGCGCAGGCGGAGAUGCAAGCGUGACGUCAAAUUUCGGGGCUCAACCCCGUCUCGCGUCGCGAACUGCGUCCCUUGGUUGCGGGAAGGGGAGGCGGAACUCGUGGGGGAGCGGGUAAAUGCAUAGAUAUCACGAAGAACUCCGAUCGCGAAGGCAGCCUUCCGGCCCGUCAACGACGCUCAUGCUCGAAGGUGCGGGUAUCAAACAGGAUUAGAUACCCUGGUAGUCCGCACAGUAAACGAUGGACACCCGCGGUUUGGCCUGUAUGGCUGAGCCGCCAAGCGAAAGCGUUAAGUGUCCCACCUGGGGAGUACGCCGGCAACGGUGAAACUCAAAUGAAUUGACGGGG
rnacentral:rRNA from 1 species